rnacentral:rRNA from 1 species
GAUGAACGCUAGCGGCAGGCUUAAUACAUGCAAGUCGUGGGGCAGCAUGAGUAGCAAUACUUGAUGGCGACCGGCAAACGGGUGAGGAACACGUACACAACCUUCCUUCAAGCGGGGAAUAGCCCAGAGAAAUUUGGAUUAAUACCCCAUAAUAUAUUUGAUAAGGCAUCUUAUUAAUAUUAAAGCUUCGGCACUUGAUGAUGGGUGUGCGGCUGAUUAGAUAGUUGGCGGGGUAACGGCCCACCAAGUCUACGAUCAGUAGCUGAUGUGAGAGCAUGAUCAGCCACACGGGCACUGAGACACGGGCCCGACUCCUACGGGAGGCAGCAGUAAGGAAUAUUGGACAAUGGACGAAAGUCUGAUCCAGCCAUGCCGCGUGAAGGAUUAAGGUCCUCUGGAUUGUAAACUUCUUUAUAUGGGACGAAAAAGGGCAUUCUGUUCACUUGACGGUACCAUAUGAAUAAGCACCGGCUAACUCCGUGCCAG